UAAAUAAAUAUGUUAAAUGUGCUCUAAACAGGUCAUUUCGGUACAGCACUGAUAGAAGCACUUCAUUUUCAUCUUUUAACAAAUAUCUUUAUUUUCUUUUAAUAUGAUAUUAUUGGCAGAGGCGCGCGUCCGUCUCAUGCUUUGUGAUCACGUGAUUAUUCAACGGGGAGACGCGCGUUCUGGAUUUACAGUUUCUCCUCAGACAAGUGUUUCUGUUUUGUGGUCGAUUCUGGGUAAUGUUAGCUCGAGCGCUGUCAGCUUGACUGAGCUCGUCGCGCAGGUGACGAGCAGGUCAGUUAAUGGAAAUCUUUUAUUUGUCUUUAUAUCUUCUAUAUAAUCGUGUUAUGCUUGUUUUUAAAUGUAUUUUAAAUUGUUUAGUUAAUUAUAAUGCAAGUUUACUCCAAGUAUUGUAGUGUGGGCUUUUUUCAGCUUACGGCUAGCCUGAUUGAGCUCGUGGCACAGCUGUGAGCUAGCAGUUAACAUCCUUUUCUUGGUGUGUCUUGAUGUUUUCUAUUGGCUAAAGAUGCAAAUAAGGAGACUUACAGUAGGAGCUGCUGGUUUGUGGUUGGCAGUAUGGAUCACGGUCUGCGACUCAUGAGGAGCUGGUCUGGAGACAUGAAGAGGUUGUCAACAGGCCAUCCAUCCAAGAUCAUCUAUCUGAGCUGCUGAAAACUGCCUCGGUACGGAUCUGUUGGAGCUUUGUGUCACUGACUGAAUUUCUGCAAAUUCCUGUUCCGUGUCAUAUUGCUUAUGCAAGACUGAAUCCAUAAAGGUGAUGGUCUGUGGAGACUGUGGGGGAUUCCUUCUGCUGUCAUUUAAACAUGAGCAGGAGUAAUGACGGGUUUAAAUGGACGCAACUAAUAUUAUGUCAGAGUCCGCUGCUUAUGCUGUAACCAUAAAGCAACCAGGACAACACACCUGGAGUGACCGAGAGCAGGAUGAAGGAGGAAUCGGAUGAGAAAAUGUCAACUGGUGCCCAUGAGGAGACAUAUUGUUCUUGGACCUGCUUUUUAUGUUUAGUAAUAAGUGGUUUUAUGUGGUUAAAAAAAAGUAAUUUAAUAUUAAUAUUUAAUAUUUUAAUAUUCACUCCAAAAUGGUCUAGUAUUGUCACUUAACUUAUGCUGCUUGACUUCUCAUCAUAAAGAUCAUUAUUAAAUUAAUAUUAAAUAUUUCAAAUUUAGAAAUAGGCUACCCCAUGCCAUCUAAUAAAGAAGUGGGUACUCCGUGCGUGUCGUGUACCCAGCACUACACCAUAUGGCAUCAUUGAUGUCUGUUG